UAACACAAACUGUAUUUUUAGCCAACAUUUUUGAAAAACAUGAAUUCACUUCAGAAGAGUAUGUUUCGAUAUCUUCAUCUUUUACGUUCUCAUGAACAUGUAUAAAGGAAUGUGAUUCUCGCUUUAAAAUUGAAGUAGCGGUUGACCAGGAUUUUUCACUAGAGGGGAGCAUUCCCAAAUUUAUAUGUCGAGCAGAAAUAUUCAUUUUGGAGAACCUUUCAGCUGCAUAAACGUUGCUUUCCAAAAAAACUACAAUACGAUGAGUUCCUACUUUAAAUUCAUAGUUUUCUCCAUUUCGAACUACAUAAAUAGACCAGCCAUUUUUCAAAGCAGCUC